rnacentral:rRNA from 1 species
UUUAAUUGAAGAGUUUGAUCAUGGCUCAGAUUGAACGCUGGCGGCAGGCCUAACACAUGCAAGUCGAGCGGUAACAGAGAGG